GCUAUCAUAGCUCAAAUGGUAGAGCGGUUGACUUUUAAUCAACAGGUUUUCGGUUCGAAUCCGAACGGUAGCU
rnacentral:tRNA from 1 species